UAGUAAUGAUCUAACAUAUAGAUACAGUCCUAAGUCCUUUUUUUUCCUGAAUAUCAGAAUGAAAGGUGUGGUACAAGUUUGUAGCAAAAACACAUGAGGAAGCUGGAAAAGUUUUAUAUUCUGUUUUGCUUAUGCUUUGUACUAUGACCUUGGAAAUUCAUUUAAUCUGUCUCUCACUACCUUUAUGUUUGUAAAUUGUGAAGAGGACAACAACUUAGAACAACACCAUGAAACAAACUUAAGAAUGGCUUAAGAGCCAUAGGGAGGAAAAAGCUAAAGAAACUACAAACUAUAAUUGUGAUAAAUGAAUGUCUUGCCAUUCAAAAUUCAUUUUUUCUUUAGCAGAUCUGUACUUAAUGUGUCUAAAAUCGUACUUGCAUUUGAUUAGGAAUGUGCUUUUGAAGAGACUCUCCCAGUUAUCUCCUUUUAGCACACUUCAACUCCUAGGACAGUCUUGGUAUAUGUGAACUGGAUUAUUUUUGGAUUAAGUUUAUCUAGGAGAUGAUGAGCUCCUGUUGUGCAAUGGGUAGACACCACCAUCUGAUGAUCAUUUUGUCCAUGUCACUAGAAUGCAACUAGUCUAAACUAAUCCCCCUACAACAUCACCAAGUGUUUCCAUUCUUACUCCACUGAGCUGCUUGCUGAGUUAGACAUAGGGUUAAUUGUCUUGCUUAUGAAGCAUUUUGGAAGUGACAGACAGAAUUCAGUCCAUUAGUAUUAGCAAACUGUGUUAGCUUGUAGUUGAAGAAGUAUGGGAUCAGCAGUGCAUGCAAUUUAUUUGUAUGUGGGGUAAGAGUAUUAUGACCAAAAAGUACUGUACUGUUGCUCAGGUCAACAAAGUUAUGUGGGAAUGCAGAUACCCCAAGAAUUUAGAGUACUGCACUGUGAGGAGACAAUGAAUAAAACCCAGACUUGUUAAUACAAAGAAUCUUCACUGGCACCCUCUAAACACAUUUAAGGAAAACACUGCCCUAUUGACUGCAAUGAAUCUCCUCUAGUUUCUGUGGCUGCAAAUAAAAUUUCUGACUAUUUUGAAAUUAUUUGAGGAUCCCCUCAGUGUAUGGGAAUUACCAGCUGGUGCAGCCAGGUUUGUGGUGGAAUUAUUUGACCUCUUUAGCAUUUGAUCCGGUGAAGGGUAGUGCCAAAAAAAUUGUGUGCCUUCUUGACAGUCUUCAUCAAGUUCAUUCAGAAAGCAGUUGAAGUAAUUGAGGCUGUGAUGAGUUAGAGGUGUUUUUCAUGAGCAUUUCAUGUGACUCCCACUAGUUAAUCAUUGUCUCUGCGUGCCUCAUUGGAUAGGCUAAAAAAAGCUCAAGAAAGUCAUUGUUGAAGGAUUUAUGGACUAAACUCCUGUAACAGCAUUUAACACCUAAGCCCAGUAGGUCCAAACCAUUUACUUCCAACCAUGAGUAACCACUCUUCCUUAUUAUUAUUUUGUUAUCUUUUUCUUCUUCCUACUCAACAAAAAUCUUAAUUAGAAAUGCCAAUAUGUAAACAAUUGCUAAAACAUUUUAAAAUAUGAAGUUAUUUUCAAAUUACAGCUGCCAAUUGAUGUGUGCCUCUUGGCUGAUAUUCUGUAUUGCAGAAUAGCAGCACAGUUUUCAUGGCAGAGGCAGACAGUGAAGGUGAUUGCUAGGCAGGCUGCCUGAGUAGGAACAGAUCUGAAUUUCUCUUGCUUCCAGUCCACACUUUUGCACUUGGUGGCAUGUCACACUAACAGCUGUACAGUGGCAGCUCUUUGUGCUGUUGAGUACAAGUUGGACACACAAGUUUGGAGAGUGACAGCUGGGAGAUGUAGCAAAGGAAGGAGAUGUCUAUGGGAGGAAUCCAGGGCAAGUGGGAAAGCUGCUUUAUUGCGAAAGGAGUUGUGGUGAAAGGAAGUUCAUUGAAAAUUAAUAUGAGGACAUGGAUGGAGCUUUAGGACAUGAGCUUUUACAGUACUUACAUAGACUGUGUAUGUGUAAUGGGGCAUGUAAUUGUGCAGAUGUGUGUGUAUGAAGCAGUUUCCAGUGAGAGGGGGUGUGUCAUUGACAGACAGGAUGCAUUUAGCAGACCCUGAAGGGGAAAAAGAAGUAGAUAUGACGUGAAAAGACCUUUUGCCUUAGGUCCUGCUCUCUGCCCUGGUAGUGUAGAAGUCAAAAUGUUACACUGGUUCUGUUUUUACAGCAUAUAUGUGUGACAGGGCAGGAGACUAAGGGGAGAUGGCAAGGAUUGGGAAGAGAAUGUACAGUGGAAGGAAUGAGAGAGAAUUCGAACCUCAGGAAGAGGUGGAGUGGUCACUCAUUGUUAGAAGGAAAUGGUUUGGGCCUACUGGGCUUAGGGGUAAAAUGUUAUGGGAAGUUUAGUUCAGAAUAGCUGGGAAUGGAAAAUGAAAAGAGGUGAGAGAACCAGUGGUCCAAAGAGGAGACAGGAUGAGAAAGCAAAUGAAGGAAGCUGAAAGAGCAAGGGAAAAUCCAUUGGGAAUGUGGAGAACAUGGUUAAGAGGGAGAGGUUCAGGCUCCUGUUCAGCACAUUGCUUGCCCUUCUUUCCCCAAAGAAACUCAACCUGAGGUAUUGGCAGAUGAUCAACCUGAGUUGGCAGAUGUUAUUGCAAAGCCACUCUCCAUCAUCUUUGAAAGGUCUUGGAGAACAGGAGAGGUGCCUCAGGACUGGAGGAAAGUCAAUGUCACUCCAGUCUUCUAAAAUGGCAAGAAGGAUGACCCAGGAAACUACAGGCCAGGGAGCCUCACCUCCAUCCCUGGAAAAUGAUGGAACAGCUCAUUCUGGAUGUCAUCCCCAGGCAUGUGGAGAAAAAGAAGGUUAUCAGGAGUAGUCAGCAUGGGUUCACCAAAGGGAAAUCAUAUUUGACAAACCUGAUAGCCUUCUAUGAUGGUAUGACUGGCUGGGUAGACGAGGGAAGAGCAGUGGAUGUUGUCUACCUUGACUUCAGCAAGGCUUUUGGCGCCAUCUCUCACAGCCUCUUCAUAAGCAAGAUCAGCAAGUGCGGGCUGGAUGAAUGCAUGGUGAGAUGGAUCAUGAACUGGCUGGAUGGCAGAGCUCAGAGGGUUGUGAUCAACGGUGCAGGAUCUGGUUGGAGCCCUGUAGUCAGUGGGGUCCCCCAGGGGUCAGUACAGGGUCCAGUCCUGUUCAGUCUUUCCAUCAGUGACCUGGAUGAACAGACUGAGUGCACCCUCAGCAUGUCUGCUUGUGAUACCAAACUGGGAGGAAGGGCUGACACACCAGAAGUCUGUGCUGCCACUCAGCAAGACCUGGACAGGCUGGAGGACUGGGCAGAGAAGAACCUGAUGAAAUUCAACAAGGGCAAGUGUUGGUCCUGCACCUGGGGAGGAGUAACCCCAGAUACCAGUACAGGUUAGGGGUGGACCUGCUGGAAAGCAGCAUUGCAGAGAAGGACUUGGGAGUUCUGGUUGACAACAGGUUGACCAUAAGCCAACAAUGCGCCCUUGUGGCCAAGAAGGCCAACAGUAUCCUGGGGUGCAUUAGGAAGAGUGUGGCCAGCAGGUCAAGGGAGAUUCUCCUCCCCCAUUACUCUGCCCUGGUGAGGCUGCAUCUCAAGUACUGUGUCCAGUUCUGGGGUCCCCAGUUUAAGAAGGAUAAGGAAUAAGUGGAGGGAGUCCAGUGGCGAGAUAUGAAGAUGACUAGGGGCCUAGAGCACCUUUCCUAUGAAGAGAGACUGAGACAGCUGAGUCUGUUCAGCCUGGAGAAGGCUGAGAGGGCAUCUUAUCAAUGUUUAGGAAUUUUCUCAAGGGUAGAUGUCAAGAGAAUGGGACCAGACUGUUUUCAGUGGGGCUAAACGAUAGGAUGAGGCAUAUAAGGUUCCACCUGAAUACGAGGAGAAACUUGAUUACUUUGAGGGUGCCAGAGCCCUGGAACAGGCUGCCCAGAGAGGUUGUGGAGUCUCCUUUUCUGGAGACAUUCAAAACCCACCUGAACACAUUCCUGUGUGAUCUGCUCUGGGUGAACCUGCUUUAGCAGAUGGGUUAGAUUAAAUGAUCUCCAGAGGUCACUUCCAACCCUAACAAUUCUGUGAUUCUGUAUUUUGAAGGAUUAUAUUGUAUUCUUUUGGAUUCUGUGCUGUUCAUCCAGAAUAGGGCUGUUAGCCCCUCAGUUGUGCUCCUGUCCAAGAACUGGUCAUCUGCUGUUCCUCACCAGUGUCCCUGCCCUGGCAUAAGUUGCCCACAGGCCUCAGCUGCCUUGGAGCUGUCCUUCCUCUGGCAUCAAGCGUCUCCAGCUGAGUCCACAACAUCUUCCAUGUGUCUCCUCCAGUUUGUUUUUUUGGUUUGCUCCUGUCCCCCUACUACUCUUUCUUAAAUAUGUUUGAGCAGGGAUGCCAUGUGUUAUGCUGUUGAGCUGCAAUUUUGGGGUGUGAUGGCCUGUUUUUUUUCAAUUUCUGAGCUGGCUAGACACACCUGUUAGGACACAGGGCAGUUCCUGUCCCACCAGCAGCCCCCACUGCCUAAAUCCUGACAGUGCUGAUCAAUACAGUCCCAUAGUCCCCAUUGCAGCUGCCAGCACCAGCUGCCUCACAGCACAUAGCUUCCAGCUUUCCUCCAAACGUCAGGGCUGGCACUAAGAAAUCCUGUGUCACUGCUUUAUCCCCUUGCUGCCAUACACUCUCCUUGCCUGUUUCUCCAUCACUGCAAGCCAGGCUGUUCCCAGUAGGAGGAGGGACUUCAGAGCUGUUUAAGUCAAGGUCCAAGAGCGCCAGCCCACUAGUCCUCUGCAGCUCCUGGCACAGCUGCCCUGCUGCCCCACUCUGCCCAUGCCUCCUUUCCUCCCUGGUACCCUGAGGAGCCUCCCAGGCAGGUGAGGGGAAAGUAUCCUGUUUUGGGGCCUGGGUGAACAAGGUGUGAACAUUGAUGGCAAAAUGGACUUGACUUUGGGAAAUCAAUUUUAUUUACUUCCAAUUUAAAUAGACGCAGACAGUGAGAAACAAAACCAAAACUUAAAACACCUUCUCCCAACCCAGCUUUCUCUUUCCCAGGCUCAUCUUCACCCCCACCUCUUCCACCUCGUGCCCUCUAGCAGCCCAGCGGGAAGGAGGAAUGGGAGCCAAGGUCAGUCCAUAACUGCUCCUCUCUGCUGCUCAAACUGCUCCAGCAUGGGGUGCCCCCCACAGGCCCCUGUUCCUCCAGGGAACAUCCACCUGCUCCACUGUGGUGUUCCCAGGGCUGCGGGGACCUCUCUACAGCACCUCCCCACCAACCUAGGUGCUCGCACUGGUGUUUCUCACUUCGUGGCUUUUUCAUUUUUCCCCCUCACUCCUCUGCUCGACUGGCAUCUCUGCCCUUUCUCCAUGAGGCUUCCCCAGAGGAGCCGCCAGCUCGGCCUCCUGCAGCCGACCAGCAGCGGCUGAAGCCCUCAGGCCCGGCCCGCGGAGCACCUGCCAGCGCCCGGACAAGCCGGUACACAGAGGGAUAUGACGCUUGAAGAGGGAAUAUCAUUGUAACCUAUAUGCGACAGGGAGGGAGGAAGAGCGAGGACGGCGAGUGUUGGGGUAAGGAGGCGAGCAGCCGCUCGCAACUGCAGGAGGAGGGGACGCGACCCCGCCUGUGGGACGCCCAGUUCCGGCAGGAGCCCCGAGCCCCGGAGGGUGUGGGGAGGUUGGACCCAGCCCUGCUGCCGAGGCAGCGCUCCUGAAGCCGGUCCAGAAAAUGAUGCUGCCACAUUCUGGCUUCGGGAGUGGUAACAAAGCGGCGGGCAGGAGGAAGCGGCUGCUGCUGCCGCUCCUUUGCCUGUGCGGAGGGCGCGGCGCUACAUGAGCCAGGAGGUGGCCUGUCAGCAGCCCGAGUGCCGGGCUGGGCGGCAGGGAGGAUGGAGAACUAUGUUUUGUGCUGUCCUUGUUCCCCAAACAAGCCUUUCACAGCCUCUUCUCCUUGCCGUCUCAGCCACUAAAGUUAUCUCCCUGCUUUUCAUGCGCUGCCUCCCUGUCAGCUCUCUUCUGACCCCGGCUGCUGCUGGUUUGAACAUCCAGGGAGCAGAAGAGGCAAAAACACCUGAUAAACCUGGCAGUUUAGAAAAAAACGGGAGAGGAGGACGAGGGGGAUACGAAUUAUAAAAUGAGAUGAACACCAGUAAGACCUCACUCUGUGUUAACGUUUUAACAACAAAACCAUAGAGCCCCAAUAAACUGUUUCUUAGUGGGAGAAGAACGUUACAGACUAAAUUUUGACACAGAAAAGCGCUUUUUUUUUCUCUUCAUCUGCCCUGUUUGUACUGGCUGCAGGAUGCUACUGAGCACACUGUGCGGCAGAGUGCACUGAAGCGUACAGGGAGCAAUCAGCUCGACAUUGGAUUACUGCCAUGACAAUUAAAAGAAAUUUAAUGACUCUGCAACCAUUUCUCUCCUUUUCUUUCUCCCUCUCUCCAGUAGUAGGGACUUUUGUAUCACAUCUCCUGAGGUGUAUUUAAGCUCACAUGCUCAUGGUGGGGAAGACUUGUCCCUUUAGGAACUGUUAGGAGUUUCUGCACCAGGAUCAGUCUCUCUAAAUGUCACCUAAAACUUCAGUCUACAUGUAUAUCCUCACUUGCAGCCUAACACCCACUCAGUAAUAACUAUUCUGACUAGAUUGCAGGCUGCACUUUAUCACUUAAGUGAUGAUAAACAAAUAUAAUAAUUCAUGCACAAACAACUCAGAAAAAGUUCAGAUACACCCAUAUAAGUAUUAGCAAAAUGGAAGAAAAGGUGAUAUUAAGCAUAAGGUGGUUUAAUUAUAAUUUUUGUGUUUAUAGAGAUAAUAAUUCCUAGUUUCUCCAUUGUGUAUAAUAUGGAGAAAUUAGAAGAAUAGUGGAAAAAUGCAGGAGAAUAAAACAGGUAGUAGGUUUUUGUUUGUGUCUUACUGUUGUAUGGGCACCUUGGAGACUGUGAUUUCCCCCCUCUCCCCCCUUAGGGGAUUUCUGGUUUAUUUUUCACAACAAAGAAAACAGUCUGUGGAACAAAAUGAAGGUAUGUAUGUAUAGCAGCAUUUAAAUCAUCUAGCUAAGGUCUGCUGAUAGGAUGUUAGAUCAGCUUUUGGUUUUAAAAGUGUUUGAAGGGAAAUAAAAUAGCAUGGUAAAUAAUAAAUUUACUUGCUCUCAGGCUGGGUUGUGAAAUAGCUGAGAGAAUUGAUGCAUAUCGCUGAUGAAGAUAUUUGUCCAAGCACAACAGGAGAAUCUAUAAGACUUGACAGUUUUGGAUGCUUUUUAGGAUUUAGUUGUGUUCUAGGAAAGAGUAAUGAAAGCCAUAAGUGAUUGCAGCAUGCUGGGAAACAGCAUCUAGAGGUAUUGGGAAGAGACUGAGUUGUCUUCACUAAUGCAACAAACAAUCCUGAAAGGCAGCAAGCUGAACUGUGAGGAUGCAUUGUCACUUCAGCUAUUGGGAAGCAUAUUUAUUUGAUGAAUUUUGGCUAUUGAAGAUGGCAAACAGAAUCUAGAAUGUUUUGUCUGAAGUGGUAAAACAUUCCUACAUCCAUGGCCUAAAAAAAAAAUAAUCUCAUAAAAAAAAUGCAGUAUUUACUAGAGUAGUUACUAGAGGGACUUUUGUUUACUUACCUUUAAGAAAAAAAGCUCUAAGAAAUACAUUUGCUCUGUGAGCAUACAAAAAAUGCAAGUAGUAAAUGAGGACUCUCAUCCCAGUUCAUAUAAUUUCUCUAUUUUCAGUCUUUGUGCUAAGUGCUAUAUAAAAGCCAUAAUAAAGACAGGAAGUGUGAGGUCCUUUAAGACAGUUACCUGCUUGGUCCUCAGCCUGCUUCUCUGAGGAGCAUUAUUUUGAUUAUUUGUCUUCUGUUUCAGUCACUUUGGGACUGAUGUCAUACUUCCACUAUCAGAGGAAUUGUGCAGCAGUAAACCCAUGCUGUGCCAGCCCCUUCCUUUGGUGGCAACAUGAGCUAUCAUAUGGACGAAAACACCAAGAAAAGCAAUUCUGCCCAGGAAACAUCUGCAGAAGGAAAUCUCUCUCCUCCUAAAGAUUGCUCAAUAACACAAAAAACCACGCAACAACUUGAUAAACAAUUAAAAUGCUUAGCCUUUCAAAAUCCAGGACCUCAGGUAGCUGACUUCAAUCCUGAAACCAGAAAGCUGAAAAAGAAAGCAUUCAUGUCACAGAUGAAACAAGCUUUUUUUUAUAAUCCCAAAACUACAAAGAAGUAUGACAAAGAUGGCAGGCUGCUCUGUAAUAACAUCGAUUUGUGUGAUUGCCUGGAAAAGAACUGCCUGGGUUGCUUCUAUCCUUGCCCAAAAUGCAAUUCAAACAAAUGUGGACCACAAUGUCGCUGCAAUAGAAAAUGGGUUUAUGACACAAUUGAGACUGAAGAUGGGAAUAUGAUCAGCGUGUUUCCAUUUUCUGUCCCUGACUGAUUUUGUUCUGAUAGCUUUUGCACCUGAGCAAAGUUCUUCUUUCUUCACAUUUUAUUGAAGUAAAUCUUGUCUUUAUGAAUUGUUUCUAGUGAAGUGCCUGGCAGUGGUGCUUGUGCUUCUUUACUGCUGCCUACCUAGCAGACUUUAACCUUCCCCAUUAAAUAAAAGUAGGUAUGUCAUUCUUCCUCAACCUUGCAAGCUGUGCUGAGGCAUCUGGUCCUCUCUAAAUCUUGACUUUCUAAAACUGAAGGUGUCUGGGAUGCUGCGGGGUGACAAUUUUCUUACUCUGGGAAGCCAAACCACUUGUAAUGAGUUUUUUUCUUGCUCAUUUCCCUGCUUGUUCAUUUACUCAGAUGUGUGACACAGCUCUUUCUUUUGCGAAUGCUUGUCCAAGUGCCUUUUCCUCUGAUCCAUUCAUGUCUUGUACAGAUGAGGCAGGAGUCAUUUGAGAUAACACUGUUCUUUGAAACUAGGUCACCACGUUUCACAUCCCUCUCUAUAUAAAGCACGAAGAGUGAAACAACUCUGCAAUUCUUUCUUUCUGCCCAGGCUACGAGACUGAAACCAACAUGUUCAGUCAGCUUUUUUUUUUUUUUUUUUUUUUUUUUUACAGCACACGGUGCACUCAACCUUGAUCAGUCAUUAAUUACAUAGCUAGAGGUAAACAGAUGGGAUAUUUUAGCCUCUGGACAGAGAAGUCCCUUCACUUCCAGGAGUUUCCUCUUAAUGGAAGACACGACAGAUUUGAAAUACUGUAACUUAUACCUAGUCUUCUUAUGAGGCAGGUGUUCUCAUGAGUGUGAUGGGCACUUAUACCCUUUUUGAGGAGUGAGAGACCCUCUGGAUCUUGAAGUGGGGAAGGCUGCAGGUUGCCACAGCUGUUCUCCAGGAGUGUGCUGUUAUUGGAGUAAUGGCUCCCUGGGCCUAGUGCUUGUUUUUGAGGAGACUCUCCCAACUUUGAAUGUGGUAUCACUUUUCUCCUCUACAAGACGUCAAACCUCCUGCUCCAAGGCAGAGAUGUCUCCCAGCAGAAGAAACUUCCUGGAACAGAUCCCAGAAAUGCCUUAACACUACAGUAUCCUUCUGACCUGAUAAAUCAGAAAGGCUUGCUGCUCCUCUCCACUAAUGACACCUCACUACUUAAGCUCGUAGCAUAAAAACACCCAGUACCAAAAAACUUCAUAGGAAUAUUUUCUAUAGUGGUUAAAACACCCUCCAUUCAGCAGUUGGUCUGGUGCUGUUCCCUCAUCUGCCUCAUUGGUCCCAAAGUAUUCUUUGACUUGUGCUGGGCAUCCAAAUUGCCCACGUCACCUCUGAGCUAUAUUUCUAAAAGGAGGUGGAAAUCCUACCAAUGUAGCCAGGGAUUGGUUUCUUGUUCCAGGUGUGCCACAGACUCAAUCUGGAUUUACUGAAUAAGCAGCUCUUCAAGAAGAUAAAGUUGAUUUACACGGACAGGAAAAUGGCAGCCUUCCUUUGAAACAGCCUUGAGAUCUGAACUGGACAGGUUUCAAUUAGCUUCACUUUCUUUCCACUUAAGGGCAAAAACCCAAAUAGUCUCUCACGUGGAUUCCUGUGACAAGGCCACAUGUUAAAUUUUUUGAGUAAUGUGAUUAAACCCAGAUUGGUAUAAAUCUUUAUAACAACAUGAUUGUAUUAAUUGGUGUUACUCUGUGGUUUUUAACAUGGACUAUGCAUCUGUCACAAUCAUAGCUAAAUGCAAAGUGUAAGAGAACUGCAUCAUGAAUGCACUUAGUGCAACCUUGAAAAUACAGCACAGAACCUGAAAAAAACAGAAGCGAGAGCCAAAAAAAGGAUAAUGAACUAAGACGAUGUUGCAGAUGCAGUUCUGCUGUGGUUUGAAAAUUACUCUUUAUUGUUGCAAUGAUCCUGCCAACUUUUCCCCCAGUUCCACAUGAGCAGCUCACAGACCACAAGUAUAAUCCCUAUUAGGGCAGUUGUACAUGGAGGGGGGGAGGAAGAAAGAAAAUGACUAGUGUCAAACCUAUGUUUAUACUGAUUAUGAAAGUUAGUGGUAGAGACAUGUAUAUAAAAAUAACAACAGAGUGCACAUAUCUGAAUUUUUUUUAGGCAAUUACAUAAUGCUCCAUUGCAUGAUGUUGUGGUUUUAAAUAAAAUUCAUUAGCAGAAAAGGCAGAGAAUAUUUCUUAGGCUCUUAUGAAAUUGGCCCCUCUACAGAUGACGCUAGAUCAUCUUCGUACCUUAUGUCAGUCUAAACAAUGUUUUUCCCUAUGGAAUAAGUUUGCUUUAGAAAGCUAAUGUUUAAUAUAAAGAGAAGCAGAUCAAUAAACGUUCCAUAAUGUCUGUUGGUCCUCCUCUCUCCCCUCCCCAAACUCCCAUCCCCUGAUUGAGCAAGUUAAACAGUUUCUGACACUGUCAACUUACUUGACCUGUGUUUUCUUUGUCAACAUGGCUUCUUUGCUCAUGGCUACCAGUGAUCCAACUGUGGCUUAAGGAGCCAUGGAAACACAGUCCAUCUGGAAGAAGAUACUCACCCUCUGCUUUCUUAGAUGUUACUACUACAAAGAAGUCAAGCUCAUGGAAAUGAAUAAAGUGCUCCUGUAUGAGUUUUGUAAAGGUAAAGCUGGUUCUGUCUCUACUAACCUCCUGUGCACUUGGGAAUUGUCUUACUGGGAUCCUCUUAAUUCCAAAGACUCCACUGUGCAUCUUCUGCCAUUUACAAACUUGAAAACCCAGAACACAAACCACAGAAUCUUCUUGUUUGCCUUCAUCGUACUCCAUUAGACAUUAAGCCAGAAAGUUAGCCAAUAAAGACAAUUAGUCUAUACUUCUUAAUAUCAGAAGUUGUCACAGCUCUGAGAAAAAAACCACAAUAGCUGUCCUUGCAUAUUGCAUUGGAUGCUUACAGCUGCUCCUAAAGCAACAGCCAACUUAAAGGAAAUAUUAAUAGUUUUAUUAUCAUGUGUCUCAGAAGAGGCCACAAAUACUAUGACUUUAAAGAUGCAAAGGUGUGCUAAAGACAAAGAACACCCGAAGCUUUAUCAGGUGAGUUAAGAGAUGGGAGUUUUGAAUAAGGUGUCACACCAAAGCUGUCCUGGGGCAUGAGGCUUAUUAGCUAGCCAGCUGUACCAAGGCCACCGCUUCCGUGUCUGCUUUUGUUUCUGUGCCAAUAAAUGGGCAGAAUUAUGCUAACUUUGCACUUGCUCAGUGUUUGCAAAUCCUUCCACAAUGAAAACUUAAUAAUUAUUUUUAUAAAUCCUUUUAUGUGAAGGCUCCAUGAUUACUAAUCUGCAGUUACAUAUAUAACAUAGCACCUCUGAAACACAGAUUAGGGACAAAAUAGUUGAGCACUGUAAAACGACAGGCAGAAAAUGGAGACUUCUUCCCAAAACAACCUCCCAAAUUUUGUAUGAAAAUUGUUACAGGAUUCCUGUCCACAUGGAGACCUAACGUUAGCUAAGUGCAGUAAAUUGAAUGGUAUUCAGUUUACCUACAGU